UCAUAACUAACUUAAUGGUAGAGUAUUUCGCUUACAACGAAAAGGUUAGUAGUUCAAAUCUACUGUUAUGAA
rnacentral:tRNA from 5 species